UACGGAGGAUGCAAGCGUUAUCCGGAAUGAUUGGGCGUAAAGCGUCCGCAGGUGGCUAUGUAAGUCUGCUGUUAAAGAGUCUGGCUCAACCAGAUAAAGGCAGUGGAAACUACACGGCUAGAGUGCGUUCGGGGCAGAGGGAAUUCCUGGUGUAGCGGUGAAAUGCGUAGAGAUCAGGAAGAACACCGGUGGCGAAGGCGCUCUGCUAGGCCGCAACUGACACUGAGGGACGAAAGCUAGGGGAGCGAAUGGG
rnacentral:rRNA from 1 species